rnacentral:rRNA from 1 species
CAGCCGCCGCGGGAAUACGGAGGGUGCGAGCGUUAAUCGGAAUUACUGGGCGUAAAGCGUACGCAGGCGGUUUGUUAAGUCAGAUGUGAAAUCCCCGAGCUUAACUCGGGAACUGCAUUUGGAACUGGCAGGCUAGAGUCUCGUAGAGGGGGGUAGAAUUCCAGGUGUAGCGGUGAAAUGCGUAGAGAUCUGGAGGAAUACCGGUGGCGAAGGCGGCCCCCUGGACGAAGACUGACGCUCAGGUACGAAAGCGUGGGGAGCAAACAGGAUUAGAUACCCCGGUAGUCCCUGUCUCUUAUAC